rnacentral:rRNA from 1 species
UACGUAGGCAGCAAGCGUUGUUCGGAGUUACUGGGCGUAAAGGGUGUGUAGGCGGUUGUUUAAGUUUGGUGUGAAAUCUCCCGGCUCAACUGGGAGGGUGCGCCGGAAUACUGAAUGACUUGGAGUGCGGGAGAGGAAAGUGGAAUUCCUGGUGUAGCGGUGAAAUGCGUAGAUAUCAGGAGGAACACCGGUGGUGUAGACAGCUUUCUGGACCGUAACUGACGCUGAGACACGAAAGCGUGGGUAGCAAACAGG